rnacentral:rRNA from 1 species
AGCGAACGCUGGCGGCAGGCCUAACACAUGCAAGUCGAACGAAGUCUUCGGACUUAGUGGAGGACGGGUGAGUAACACGUGGGAACGUGCCUUUCGGUUCGGAAUAACCCAGGGAAACUUGCUCUAAUACCGAGUUUGCCCUUCGGGGGAAAGAUUUAUCGCCUUUAGAGCGGCCCGCGUCUGAUUAGCUAGUUGGUGAGGUGAAGGCCCACAAAGGCUACGAUCAGUAGCUGGUCUGAGAGGCUGACCAGCCACAUUGGGACUGAGACACGGCCCAAACUCCUACGGGAGGCAGCAGUGGGGAAUCUUGCGAAAUGGGCGAAAGCCUGACGCAGCCAUGCCGCGUGGAUGAUGAAGGUCCUAGGAUUGUAAAAUCCUUUCACCGGUGAAGAUAAUGACUGUAGCCGGAGAAGAAGCCCCGGCUAACUUCGUGCCAGCAGCCGCCGUAAAAC